ACUAGAAACGCGUAUGCAAAGCGCAGAAAAUUAGAGAUAAUAAACGAAGCUCUUGAGAACUCCGUGGAAAACAUUGAGCAGCCUGACGAGGACGAAAAUACAUCAAAAACAUGUUCGUUUUUUUGAGUGGACAACUGGACUCAAGAGAUAAAUGUAACAUAAGUGACAAUGGAACACAAACUGACAAAGUGGGACAGAAACCGAAAUUAUCACGACAAAUGCAAGAAGCACUCAAACGGAAGGUAGUUUAUCCGUAGAUGAAAACGACAAUGAUGAUGAUUUCCUAUCAGAU